rnacentral:rRNA from 1 species
UACAGAGGAUGCAAGCGUUAUCCGGAAUGAUUGGGCGUAAAGCGUCUGUAGGUGGCUUUUUAAGUCCGCCGUCAAAUCCCAGGGCUCAACUCUGGACAGGCGGUGGAAACUACCAAGCUGGAGUACGGUAGGUGCAGAGGGAAUUUCCGAUGGAGUGGUGAAAUGCAUUGAGAUCGGAAAGAACACCAACGGCGAAAGCACUCUGCUGGGCCGACACUGACACUGAGAGACGAAAGCUAGGGGAGCAAAUGGG